GAUGAAGAACGUAGCGAAAUGCGAUAAGUAAUGUGAAUUGCAGAAUUCAGUGAAUCAUCGAAUCUUUGAACGCACAUUGCGCCCCCUGGUAUUCCGGGGGGCAUGCCUGUCCGAGCGUCAUUACAACCCUCAAGCUCUGCUUGGUGUUGGGCCCCGCCGCCCCGGCGGGCCCUAAAGUCAGUGGCGGUGCCAUCCGGCUCCGAGCGUAGUAAUUCUUCUCGCUCUGGAGGUCCGGUUGUGUGCUUGCCAUCAACCCCCAAUUUUUUUCAGGUUGACCUCGGAUCAGGUAGGGAUACCCGCUGAACUUAAGCAUAUCAAUAAGCGGAUGA
rnacentral:misc_RNA from 1 species